GGCGAGAUGGCCGAGCGGUCUAAGGCGCCAGACUAAGGAUCAGGACAUUUGUUGUCCAAUCAAUCUGGUCUUUCGGGGCGUGGGUUCGAAUCCCACUCUCGUCA
rnacentral:tRNA from 1 species